rnacentral:rRNA from 1 species
AAAUUGAAGAGUUUGAUCAUGGCUCAGAUUGAACGCUGGCGGCAGGCCUAACACAUGCAAGUCGAACGGUAACAGGAAGCAGCUUGCUGCUUCGCUGACGAGUGGCGGACGGGUGAGUAAUGUCUGGGAAACUGCCUGAUGGAGGGGGAUAACUACUGGAAACGGUGGCUAAUACCGCAUAACGUCGCAAGACCAAAGAGGGGGACCUUCGGGCCUCUUGCCAUCAGAUGUGCCCAGAUGGGAUUAGCUAGUUGGUAAGGUAACGGCUCACCAAGGCGACGAUCCCUAGCUGGUCUGAGAGGAUGACCAGCCACACUGGAACUGAGACACGGUCCAGACUCCUACGGGAGGCAGCAGUGGGGAAUAUUGCACAAUGGGCGCAAGCCUGAUGCAGCCAUGCCGCGUGUAUGAAGAAGGCCUUCGGGUUGUAAAGUACUUUCAGCGGGGAGGAAGGUGUUGUGGUUAAUAACCGCAGCAAUUGACGUUACCCGCAGAAGAAGCACCGGCUAACUCCGUGCCAGCAGCCGCGGUAAUACGGAGGGUGCAAGCGUUAAUCGGAAUUACUGGGCGUAAAGCGCACGCAGGCGGUCUGUCAAGUCGGAUGUGAAAUCCCCGGGCUCAACCUGGGAACUGCAUUCGAAACUGGCAGGCUUGAGUCUUGUAGAGGGGGGUAGAAUUCCAGGUGUAGCGGUGAAAUGCGUAGAGAUCUGGAGGAAUACCGGUGGCGAAGGCGGCCCCCUGGACAAAGACUGACGCUCAGGUGCGAAAGCGUGGGGAGCAAACAGGAUUAGAUACCCUGGUAGUCCACGCCGUAAACGAUGUCUACUUGGAGGUUGUGCCCUUGAGGCGUGGCUUCCGGAGCUAACGCGUUAAGUAGACCGCCUGGGGAGUACGGCCGCAAGGUUAAAACUCAAAUGAAUUGACGGGGGCCCGCACAAGCGGUGGAGCAUGUGGUUUAAUUCGAUGCAACGCGAAGAACCUUACCUGGUCUUGACAUCCACGGAAGUUUUCAGAGAUGAGAAUGUGCCUUCGGGAACCGUGAGACAGGUGCUGCAUGGCUGUCGUCAGCUCGUGUUGUGAAAUGUUGGGUUAAGUCCCGCAACGAGCGCAACCCUUAUCCUUUGUUGCCAGCGGUUAGGCCGGGAACUCAAAGGAGACUGCCAGUGAUAAACUGGAGGAAGGUGGGGAUGACGUCAAGUCAUCAUGGCCCUUACGACCAGGGCUACACACGUGCUACAAUGGCGCAUACAAAGAGAAGCGACCUCGCGAGAGCAAGCGGACCUCAUAAAGUGCGUCGUAGUCCGGAUUGGAGUCUGCAACUCGACUCCAUGAAGUCGGAAUCGCUAGUAAUCGUGGAUCAGAAUGCCACGGUGAAUACGUUCCCGGGCCUUGUACACACCGCCCGUCACACCAUGGGAGUGGGUUGCAAAAGAAGUAGGUAGCUUAACCUUCGGGAGGGCGCUUACCACUUUGUGAUUCAUGACUGGGGUGAAGUCGUAACAAGGUAACCGUAGGGGAACCUGCGGUUGGAUCACCUCCUUACCUGAAAGAAGC